rnacentral:rRNA from 1 species
GACGAACGCUGGCGGCGUGCCUAAUACAUGCAAGUUGAGCGCUGAAGGUUGGUACUUGUACCAACUGGAUGAGCAGCGAACGGGUGAGUAACGCGUGGGGAAUCUGCCUUUGAGCGGGGGACAACAUUUGGAAACGAAUGCUAAUACCGCAUAAAAACUUUAAACACAAGUUUUAAGUUUGAAAGAUGCAAUUGCAUCACUCAAAGAUGAUCCCGCGUUGUAUUAGCUAGUUGGUGAGGUAAAGGCUCACCAAGGCGAUGAUACAUAGCCGACCUGAGAGGGUGAUCGGCCACAUUGGGACGGAGACACGGCCCAAACUCCUACGGGAGGCAGCAGUAGGGAAUCUUCGGCAAGGGACGAAAGGCUGACCGAGCAACGCCGCGUGAGUGAAGAAGGUUGUCGGAUCGUAAAACUCUGUUGGUAGAGAAGAACGUUGGUGAGAGUGGAAAGCUCAUCAAGUGACGGUAACUACCCAGAAAGGGACGGCUAACUACGUG